CAGAUAUAUGGAAAGAGGCCUGGUUUUUGCCAAUAAUAAGCAGUGUGAUUUGGGCAAGUCAUUUCUCCCCACUGAUUGAAAGAGAGUGAAAGGGAAAAGAAGAGACACAGAGAAACAUCCAUGUGCAUGUGCCCCAACCAGGACCAGGAUUUGAGCUGCAACCAAGAUUCCCCAGUUUCAAGCUGGACUGGUUGCUGUUUGGCCUGCUGCACGCUGUCAUCCUUGCUUCCUUUACCAUCAUCCUGGAAUUCCACCUAGCUCCCUCCUGUGAUAGAUGUUUUUUGACAAAGUGGAUAACUCUGAGUAUGAAAGAAGAUGUUGUUGGUUCCUGGCUCUCCCUACAUCAAUCAGGUUCUUGCCAACUCAGCACAAAGGGAUUUACUGGAAGGCUAGAGGGACUCAGACUCAAUGGGAGGCUGGACUAGCAGGAACCAAAGAAGCUCAAAUGUCCCUGGCUGGGUAGCUCAGUUGGUUGGAUGCGCUCAUCCAAUGUGCCAAUGUUGCAGGUUUGAUCCCCAGUCAGGGUACACACAAGAAGCAACCAAUGAGUGCAUAAAUGAGUGGAACAACAAAUAAAUGUUUCUCUUUAUAUCUCUUUUAAA